UACGUAGGGUGCAAGCGUUAAUCGGAAUUACUGGGCGUAAAGCGUGCGCAGGCGGUUCUAUAAGACAGAUGGUGAAAUCCCCCGGGCUCAACCUGGGAACUGCAUUUGUGACUGUAGAGCUGGAGUGCGGCAGAGGGGGAUGGAAUUCCGCGUGUAGCAGUGAAAUGCGUAGAUAUGCGGAGGAACACCGAUGGCGAAGGCAAUCCCCUGGGCCUGCACUGACGCUCAUGCACGGAAAGCGUGGGGAGCAAACGGG
rnacentral:rRNA from 1 species